rnacentral:rRNA from 1 species
UACGGGGGGGGCAAGCGUUGUUCGGAAUUACUGGGCGUAAAGGGCUCGUAGGUGGCCAACUAAGUCAGACGUGAAAUCCCUCGGCUUAACCGGGGAACUGCGUCUGAUACUGGAUGGCUUGAGUUUGGGAGAGGGAUGCGGAAUUCCAGGUGUAGCGGUGAAAUGCGUAGAUAUCUGGAGGAACACCGGUGGCGAAGGCGGCAUCCUGGACCAACACUGACGCUGAGGCGCGAAAGCUAGGGGAGCAAACGGG